GUAUAGUUCUUCGGAAGUAGAGACCGGCGCACGGGUGCGUAACGCGUAUGCAAUCUGCACUUCACAGAGGGAUAUCCCAGAGAAAUUUGGAUUAAUACCUCAUAGUGUUAUAGAGUGGCAUCACUUUGUAAUUAAAGUCACGACGGCGGAAGAUGAGCAUGCGUCCAUUAGCUAUGCGCUAAUGUAACGUUUUGCCGAGGCAACGAUGGGACUUGUUGUGAUAGGCAUAUCCGCCAGAGUGGUCUGAGCCCGGACCAGACUCUAACGGGAGGCAGCAGUGAGGAAUAUUGGACAAUGGGCGCAAGCCUGAUCCAGCCAUGCCGCGUGCAGGAUGACGGUCCUAUGGAUUGUAAACUGCUUUUGUACGAGAAGAAACACUCCUUCGUGAAGGAGCUUGACGGUAUCGUAAGAAUAAGGAUCGGCUAACUCCGUGCCAGCAGCCGCGGUAAUACGGAGGAUCCAAGCGUUAUCCGGAAUCAUUGGGUUUAAAGGGUCCGUAGGCGGUUUAAUAAGUCAGUGGUGAAAGCCCAUCGCUCAACGGUGGAACGGCCAUUGAUACUGUUAAACUUGAAUUAUUAGGAAGUAACUAGAAUAUGUAGUGUAGCGGUGAAAUGCUUAGAUAUUACAUGGAAUACCAAUUGCGAAGGCAGGUUACUACUAAUGGAUUGACGCUGAUGGACGA
rnacentral:rRNA from 1 species